AUCUCGUACGAUCACUGAAGUUAAGCAACGUCCAGCCUGGUCAUUACCCAGAUGGGUGACCACUUGGGAAUACCAGGUGCUGUAAG